rnacentral:tRNA from 1 species
GAGGGUUUAGCUCAAAGUGGUAGAGCACAUGCUUACUAUGCAUGAGAUCCUGGGUUAAAUCCCCAACACUCCUCU